rnacentral:rRNA from 1 species
CGGACGGGUGAGUAAUGUAUGGGGAUCUGCCUGAUGGCGGGGGAUAACUACUGGAAACGGUAGCUAAUACCGCAUAAUGUCUCCGGACCAAAGCGGGGGACCUCCGGGCCUCGCGCCAUCAGAUGAACCCAUAUGGGAUUAGCUUGUAGGUAAGGUAACGGCUUACCUAGGCGACGAUCCCUAGCUGGUCUGAGAGGAUGAUCAGCCACACUGGGACUGAGACACGGCCCAG